rnacentral:rRNA from 1 species
CAGUAGCCGCGGGAAUACGGAGGGGGCUAGCGUUGUUCGGAAUUACUGGGCGUAAAGCGCACGUAGGCGGCUUGGUAAGUUAGAGGUGAAAGCCUGGAGCUCAACUCCAGAAUUGCCUUUAAGACUGCCGAGCUAGCAGGUGAGAGAGGUAAGUGGAAUUCCGAGUGUAGAGGUGAAAUUCGUAGAUAUUCGGAAGAACACCAGUGGCGAAGGCGGCUUACUGGCUCAUACUGGACGCUGAGGUGCGAAAGCGUGGGGAGCAAACAGGAUUAGAUACCCCUGUAGUCCCUGUCUCUUAUAC